rnacentral:rRNA from 1 species
UACGUAGGGGGCAAGCGUUGUCCGGAAUCAUUGGGCGUAAAGAGCGUGUAGGCGGCCAGAAAAGUCCGCUGUGAAAACUCGAGGCUCAACUUCGAGCUGUCGGUGGAAACUUUCUGGCUAGAGUCCGGAAGAGGAGAAUGGAAUUCCUGGUGUAGCGGUGAAAUGCGCAGAUAUCAGGAGGAACACCAGUGGCGAAGGCGGCUCACUGGCCCGAUACUGACGCUGAGGCACGAAAGCGUGGGGAGCAAACAGG